rnacentral:lncRNA from 1 species
UGCAAGGCCAAAUUAAAUCAUUACAACCUUAUCAACCAUAAUAUUUAAUUUUAAUAAUGAUUCAUAAAACUUGCAUAAUUACAAUUAAUAUUUCUUCAAUCCUCUGAUCAGGUAUCAAUGGUACUCUAUCUAUGCAUCCGCUCACUCACAAAUCCAUACCAUAGCCAACCAUGGACAUCUUGUAACUCUGAGAAGAAAAAGAAAAUGAAGGGGUGUGAGCUUUACAG